CCAGGGCUCUCAAGUUUUGAACUGAGUUCAGAGUGAGAUUUUGCCCGCGGUCGCGAUGGCGGCAGGGGUUUGAUGGGGACGGGUGUCUGAUCUCAUAAAUGACACAUAUUCUUACAAAUAAAAUAAUAUUUAUUUAAUUCAGCAUUUAUUUGUGUGUGUGUGUGUGCGUGUGUGUGUGUGUGUGUGAGAGAGAGAGAGAGAGAGAGAGAGAAAAUGGUCAGUGUUGUUUAUUGUAGGUGUUGGUAGCUGGUUUUGAGGCCAGGGGUUGGUGGCUCCCAUUUGAAGCACUGUGGUUCCAGGCCAGCCAUUUUUCACAGUUCCAUCAAGUGCUAAGCUGUUCCUGGUUUUGGUCUUGUUUAAUCCCACCAUGGAGAAAACCCUCUCAGCAUAGACUAAGCACCAGUAAAAAGAGCUGGUGGUUCCCAUUGUGAUGAAUGGCCAUCGUGUUGACCACUCCUUCUUAAAGGAACACCUACAGGUGGCUGCUCUACAUAACCCUCUCUUUUUCCCUGUUUCCAGUGGCUUCUCCACUGUUUCCUCUAUGGUCCUCCACAGUCUCUUCCAUGCACCCAUCCUCUACUGGCACUCCCUCCCCUACUGUAUUCUCCACAGCCUCCUCCUCUGACCUAGCCACCUUUUUAGGGAGCUGGGCCCGCAUUCAUAAUGAUUUUAAGAAAGUCCUCUCAGAAAACUCUUAAUUUAGCUUAAAAACUUUUACAUAGGAGUCUUAGCUUUAAAGCAAUUCGGGACCGAUCUGAGAGCAACUCUGACUAAGGAAAAGACAAAAACGUUCAUCUUAGUGAGGAGGCGGGGUUGACCCCGUUGCUAUGUAUGACACAAUCUUUUGAAGACUGUGAUUGGUUGGUAGUCCAAGAAGGAAAAAAAGAGUGAUUUUAAGUAUAGGGUCUAUUCUAAUUCUCACUUUGAAUUUACAUGCGUAAUUUUUCCUAUUUGACCGUUCUCUCUCUCUCUCUCUCUCACACACACACACACACACACACACACACACACACACACACACACACACACACAUUAUAUGUGUGUAUAUGAAUUCUAUUUUUUUAUUUACCAUGCUUUUAAUUUCCUAUAAGAUAUUUGAUUGGUUAGAAUGAUAAAAAUUGCUCGACUCUUUCUAAUUACAGUGAUUGCUGUCCUAUUUAAGUGGCGGUUUGAAUGUUGGUUCUAAUGUAUCAAACAUGGAAUCAAAGCCAAGAAGGGCGAGAAAGCCAAACUGGACAGAGGAACAGUGUUUACUGUUACCCCAGUUAGUGGAUGAACACCAGGACAUUCUUAAAGGAAAAUUCAGACACAGCAAGGGCAAGAAGCAGACAUGGGAGCGUAUAGCACAAACUAUUAACGGUUCAUUCCCUGCUUGUGCGCACCUAUAAGCCUGCUAUAUUCAUAAAUGCAGUUUUUUGAGCCUGUAAGGUGGGAAUGUCCAGUGGAAACGAAAUGAACUGCGAACACAAUAAGAUGUUCUGAAAGUGCUGUAAUUGUUUGUGUGAUCACUCUGCUUACAGAAGGUUGUGACAGACUCAAAUCAUCACUAUUGCAUUGUUGCAUGUUCCCAGUUGCCAAAUAUCGUAAUGUAGUGAUUACUUUAAUUUAUAUAUUAAAUUAUAUUAUAUUAAAUUAUAUAUAAUCUA